rnacentral:lncRNA from 1 species
UGAGGUGGCUAGAGCCUUCUUCUUCUUCAUAAAGCCCAACAGCUCCCGGAUCUCCUUCUCGCAAGAGGCCAGGAGUGGGUUUUUACUGUCCAGGGGCCCGUAGAAGGCGGCAGAGGGCAGCGAGUCCUCGGAGUGGGUACAUUGCGGCGGGUCGGUCGAACUCGACUUGGACUCGCUGGGCGACUUGAGAACCGCGGUAGAGGUCGGCGGCGGCGUUGGGGGCAGAUGCACCGGCGACACCGAUGUCUCAGAGUCUGGGGACUCCUCAGAAGAACUGGAGGAGCUUCUGGAGGACGCCAUGUCUAUCAGAGUUCAGCAGGCUAGAGGCUGGUGGACAAGCGGUUGCCAAGCAACGAUCUCCCGGCAACCAAGCCACCUGCACGCUCUCCGGAAGCACAGCGGCCCCUAGAGGGUGAGGAAAGUACAAACAGCCUGGAAAGGCAGGAUGCUCUGAAUGGCUGGCUAUGUGUGUAACCCACUCUGGCCUCAAACUCACUAUCCUCCAGCCUCAGUGUCUUGAGUGCUGGGAUUACGGACAUUCACAUCCAACGCCGCUUGAGAGAGGGCUUUAAAGCAAAGAACCAAUAAAGAAAAUUACCA